GACGAACGCUGGCGGCGUGCUUAACACAUGCAAGUCGAACGGAAAGGCCCUGCUUUUGUGGGGUGCUCGAGUGGCGAACGGGAGAGUAACACGUGAGUAACCUGCCCUUGACUUUGGGAUAACUUCAGGAAACUGGGGCUAAUACCGGAUAGGAGCUCCUGCUGCAUGGUGGGGGUUGGAAAGUUUCGGCGGUUGGGGCUGGACUCGCGGCUUAUCAGCUUGUUGGUGGGGUAGUGGCUUACCAGGGCUUUGACGGGUAGCCGGCCUGAGAGGGUGACCGGCAACAUUGGGACUGAGAUACGGCCCAGACUCCUACGGGAGGCAGCAGUGGGGAAUAUUGCACAAUGGGCGGAAGCCUGAUGCAGUAACGCCGCGUGCGGGAUGAAGGCCUUUGGGUUGUAAACCGCUUUUGCCUGUGACGAAGCGUGAGUGACGGUAAUGGGUAAAGAAGCACCGGCUAACUACGUG
rnacentral:rRNA from 1 species